rnacentral:sRNA from 1 species
CAACAUAGAAGGCCGAAGUUUCUUAUGAAGCACGGGGGACCCAAUCUUUGGGGUGAAGCCGCAAUUAGCGGCCGGGUGAUUACUCUUUGAUCCGAAUCCGACAGCUAACCUCGCAGGCCGCAAAAAGGAGAUGU